GACGAACGCUGGCGGCGUGCUUAACACAUGCAAGUCGAACGGAAAGGCCUCUUUCGGGGGGUACUCGAGUGGCGAACGGGUGUGUAACACGUGAGUAACCUGCCCUUGACUUUGGGAUAACUUCAGGAAACUGGGGCUAAUACCGGAUAGGAGCUCCUGCUGCAUGGUGGGGGUUGGAAAGUUUCGGCGGUUGGGGAUGGGCUCGCGGCUUAUCAGCUUGUUGGUGGGGUAGUGGCUUACCCAGGCCUUGACGGGUAGCCGGCCUGGGAGGGUGACCGGGCACAGUGGGACUGGGAUACGGCCCAGACUCCUACGGGAGGCAGCAGUGGGGAAUAUUGCACAAUGGGUGGAAGCCUGAUGCAGCAACGCCGUGUGCGGGAUGACGGCCUUCGGGUUGGAAACCGCUUUCGCUCAUGACGAAGCUUUGUGUGACGGUAGUGGGUAAAGAAGCACCGGCUAACUACGUG
rnacentral:rRNA from 1 species